UUUUUUUUUUUUUUCCGGCAUGGUUUCGCCAUUUUUGCGACCGUUAGGUUGUUUUUCCGUUUCGCGGUAUGGAAAUGCCUUUAGAAAUGGAAAUGUGCUAAUUUAAUCAAGUUUAUCUAUCUGUGAAGUUUUCUCUUGUGAUGAUUAUGUUCAAGAAGAGCGCGGAAGGCCGACGACGCAACAGAACGAGCAACUCAACGCAGUUGUGUGGUUGCACCUGUGUGGGCGAGGUAAAUCCACUAUGAAAAGACCCUGAAGUGACGCCUUCAGGAUGCCGAAAAUAAUUAUGACUACAUGUGCUCCCAGUACAAGGGGUGGCCCUCCAGGCACUGACGACCAGCAUGUCAUCUCUGCUGUGCUGUCGAGGGAAAUUUAAAGG